rnacentral:rRNA from 1 species
ACAGCAGUAGCCGCGGUAAUACGUAGGGUGCGAGCGUUAAUCGGAAUUACUGGGCGUAAAGCGUGCGCAGGCGGCUUUGCAAGACAGAUGUGAAAUCCCCGGGCUCAACCUGGGAACUGCAUUUGUGACUGCAAGGCUAGAGUGCGGCAGAGGGAGAUGGAAUUCCGCGUGUAGCAGUGAAAUGCGUAGAUAUGCGGAGGAACACCGAUGGCGAAGGCAAUCUCCUGGGCCUGCACUGACGCUCAUGCACGAAAGCUAGGGGAGCAAAUGGGAUUAGAUACCCGUGUAGUCCCUGUCUCUUAUAC